rnacentral:siRNA from 1 species
UCUUUCGGUGUCAGUUUAGCUCA